ACAACUGAAUGGAUAAAUCAUAAAAGUUAGUAAUUUCACAUGAGAAAUGUUCAAACUUGUUUGUCAAAUGGACAGAAUGUUAAGUGGCGUUAUUGCCCUUACCCCAUUUGUUUGGAAGGAAUAAGAAAGUUCACAAUGUUUUAUACAGGAUUAAUUAGCGUGUGCAGGCCAUGUAAAGCAAUAACAUCGUGCUUUCGGG